rnacentral:tRNA from 1 species
CGAGCAAGCCGCUAUGGUGAAAUCGGUAGACACGCUGCUCUUAGGAAGCGGUGCUAGAGCAUCUCGGUUCGAGUCCGAGUGGCGGCAUGCCAUCUUCU